rnacentral:rRNA from 1 species
AACGAACGCUGGCGGCGUGCCUAACACAUGCAAGUCGUGCGAGAAAGUUCCUUCGGGAGCGAGUAAAGCGGCGCACGGGUGAGUAACACGUAGGUAACCUGCCCCCAGUCUGGAACAACUAGAGGAAACUCUAGCUAAUGCCGGAUGAGACCACGAUCCCUUCGGGGGUUGCGGCCAAAGAUGGCCUCUACUUGUAAGCUAUCGCUGAGGGAUGGGCCUGCGGGCCAUUAGCUUGUUGGUGAGGUAACGGCUCACCAAGGCUGUGAUGGCUAGCUGGUCUGAGAGGAUGACCAGCCACACUGGACUGAGACACGGCCCAGACUCCUACGGAGGCAGCAGUGGGGAAUAUUGCGCAAUGGGCGAAAGCCUGACGCAGCGACGCCGCGUGGGUGAUGAAGGCCUCGGUCGGUAAGUACCGUACGUCGUCGACGGGA